AGGCCGUGAUGUGGACAUUUCUGAAUUAGCGUCUUAAAACACUCCCAAGCUUUUUGAAAACUCUCCCUCUAACUGUUUGAACAUGAAAAUCUCUCUUCUUAGCUG
rnacentral:snoRNA from 1 species